UUGUGAUCCGCCCGCCUCAGCCUCCCAAAGUGCUGGGAUUACAGGCGUGAGCCACCACGCCCGGCCCAAACUUAGUCUUAAAGUUAACUUAGUCUUAAACAAGAUGCUGAUUAUCUGCUGGUUGCGGAGGUCAGCGGUCUGAGAUGGCUCUCUCUACAUCUCUACAUGGGUGAACGUCACAAUGUCUGCCUUGUUGGGGUCAAGCCAGGUUCUGCUGGGAAGCCAGUGCUCGUGGUCUGCCAGAGUCCAGGACGGGGCUGUGCAGUCGGCAGGAGGAAUGCAGUGAAGUGCCACUGUGCCAGUUCCAGGCCUGAGACUUAACAAGACCCAGCAGCUUUGGCCUGUGCGUUCUCAGGAGACUGCUGCCACCUAAGAAGUCUGACCAGCCUGAUGGAGAGGGGCUACCCAGAGGACAUUGAGGGUGCAGAGAUGUGAGUGAUAAGUCAUCUUGGACAUUCUGCCACCAUCUGACGGCAACUGCAUGAGAGACCACAAGCAGAAGAACUACCCAGCUGAGCCCAGCCAACCCACAGAACCCUGAGAAAUAAUAACGAAGUGUUGUUUCAAUGGUGUGUUUGUUACGCAGCAAUAGGUAGCUGGUGCACUCUACUUACCAGCCAAGGGUUCUUGUGCAAGUCAUUUGCGUGAACUCUACUGCACUUUGCAAAUGGGGGUGAUUCUCACUAAUCUAAGCCAGGAAAGUCUACCUGCUCACCCUGGGUAUCAUGAAGAACAGCUUUAGAACAAUACUUUAGUUCCCUCUUACAAAGCCAUAAAGGUUCCAGAAAUGUGAGGUUCAGACUCAGAGAACCCAGUAAUCUAUCAUCCCAAAUACACAUCCGAGAGGGUUGUUCCCCUCUUGAAGGGUCACCGGCAGCUCCUCAUCUCUGGACCUUUCUGGGUCUGCCCUGCCCACUAGUCAGCCCCAUCUCCCAUCCCCCACUGGCCCCUUCCCCAGUUUGUACAUUUGACAACGUAUGACUUGGUGUUCUAGCUGCGGCUCAAAUGCUGCCUCCUCUGACACCUUCCCUGUCCUCUGGGCAGGCUAGGGUGCUCCUCAUCUGUUCCCACAACCACUGCAUCAUGCAUUACAGCUGUCA